AUAUAUAUAUAUAUAUAUAUAUAUAUAUAUAUACUGUAUAUGUAUACAUGAAUACAAAACGGGCAAACCUCUGAGAUGCAGAAGCUCGCAGCCACACCUGCAGACUCUCAGAAUGUGCUGCAGGACACGUGUGCGCGUCUUCGUGUCACUGAUGCAGUUUUUUUUUUUUAAAAAAAGAACCAGUUUACCUCGGAAGCUCUCAGCCAUAGCAGACCUUAACCCCCACAGAUAUCUCAGCGCUGCAAGCAGCUUCGGAACUGCUGUGGCUGCCAUUACAAAGCAGGUACAUACUUUUUUGUUUUUCAGGAACAAACCCAGGGGCCUCAGCAGAGCCUCCCGGGCCAUUUGAAUGCGUACAGUGCAGGGUUUUUACAGAAACGGGACACAAGUCGAGAGUCCAUGUCAACACAGUCUUACCUCAGAAUCACAGUACAGAACCGGGAGUGGGGGGGCGGGGCUUACAUAUGAUAAUGGCAACCGUGAAUGACUAUUUUUUAUUCCUUCUCUUCCUUGUCUCUGGUGUUGUUGGGUAAAACAGUCUGCAGAACUCUUUCUUUUUCGCGUUUUUUUCCCCACUAUAAACAUAUAAAUAUAUAAACUGUACAUUAUGACAUAGAAGCACUAUCAAAGUUUGAUUGUUAGAUGUGCACUCGCAGCAUGAGGUAUUAUUCUUUAUUAUUCUUCAUAGCCCAGAAAAAUGAAAAAGUGAAAUAACAGCUUUUGGAAGUAAAAAAAAAAAAAAAAGCAAAAAAAAAAUAACGAAAACAAUGCAGUAGCAUCUACUGAUGUCAAAGAAAAUACCCAACCUCAUCCCACUACACACACACACACACACACACACACACACACACACACACACACACAGACCUUUACCCCAGCCCUGCCCCCCUCCAUCCAACCAAUUGCCCACCCCGCUGCCCCCCCGCCCCGUGUACAUGCCAGUGUUUCCCUCAUGUGUUCCAAGUGCCAAUAACUUUGUGAAUUCCUAACUGUGACCCAGUAAUAAAGAUAAUUGCACAUUAACUACUGUAAAGAGAAAAAGAAACCAGACUGAUUAAAAAUGAGGAAAAAUCUGAAUAUCUUAAUAAAAGGUUUGUAACAAACAGGACUGACCUUACAGCUGUGUUGGCUCUUUAAUUCCUCGUCUUUAUCCAGAACACCUUCCACGAUGGAAAGCAGUUUUAGCCCACAUGUUGUGCUGUUAUACUUUGGCUCUUAAGCCGCGAUUCCACAAGCACCUACUCGGCGCGGUGCGGCUCGGCUCGUCUUUGUUUGCGAGCGUUUCCAUAUGGAUUAGUGCAUGGUAUCAGGCACGAUUUUCCGUACCUUCUAGGCUGAGGUUCCAAGUGAGAUGAAGUGAGCCGAGAUGUGACGUCUACAUAGUGCAGGCCACUGAUUGGACAGGGAGUGACGACACACGAGAGCGACUCCAGCACGAAAACAAAACCGGCAUUUAAAAAAAACUAAACAGCGACGGUGUGCAUUGCUCUUCACGGACCUCUCUGUUCUUUAUAAUUUUAAUAUGACAGCCAGACCUGUACAGUGGGUGAAUGAAGAGGUUGAGACUUUUCUGUCUUUGGUAGUGGACCAAAGAAUACAGAGGGAGCUGGACAUAGAAAGUUUAUCAGGAGGUCUCUGAGCGGAUGGCCGCUCACAUAUACAGUAGACUGUAUAUAAAGAGGACAGAAGCAGUGUAGGGAGAAGCUGAAAAAGCUCAAAAAUGACUAUUGGUCCACCAAGGACCACAGCGGCCGGCGUGGGUCAACCAGGAGGUGUUGGAAGAGGUUUAAUUGAAGCUAUUUACUGGCACCACACCAGCCAGUAACAGGAGGGAGACUCAGCUGCUGCAUGUUGGAGACGUUCAAGAAUGGUGAGUGUUUUGUGACUUCAAGAAACUUUUACAUCAUUUAUCCCAUUGGUGGCAAGCUCCCUUUAAGCAAACAAGUAUAUUUAGAAAGUAACGUCCUUGUCUCCUGUAGCAGACAAUAAGCUAGCUAGUUAGCCAUCGGCGCUAGCUAGUUAGCCAUCAGCGCUAACUCUGUGCUCCGCUUGUAUUUCGUGCUGCUGUUUCUAACGUUUAGCUCUCAGAAGCUAAUACUUCAGUCAGCAUGACGAACUAAGCUAGUGGUCGUACAGGUUUAUGUUUUUCACAAGUUACAAUGUCGUAUUUUUCGUGUACUUAGGGUGAGUGUUUAUUUCUGUUCAAGAAUCCCUUUCCACAUGCGAAGCCUGCUCCACCUCCGUCAUGGAGCCCCCAGCUCCCUGCCUCCUCUCCAGCAUCAGCUUCAGCACCAGUACCAACUCGGACACCGACCCCGUCAACAUCAACCUCCAGCACGUCACAACAACGUCUUAUCACCGGCAAGAGGAAAAGGUGCAACAGAAAAUUGGACCUUCCAAGUGUCCUUGUGGAGAUGCAGGCUGAGAAGGAGCGGAACCGGCACCCAGCAUGAUGAGAACAUCUGGUUGCUCCUCAGCGAGGCAAGAGAGAAUGAAGCGGCCUUGCAGUGGAGGAGAUGGCCCAGAAUGCUGCCUUCAACCAGUCAUUCCUGGGUGUACUGGAGCAGCUGGGGCAGGUAGUACUGGGUGUGCUGGGGCAGCUGGGGCAGGUAGUACUGGGUGUGCUGGGGCAGCUGGGGCAGGUAGUACUGGGUGUGCUGGGGCAGCUGGGGCAGGUAGUACUGGGUGUGCUGGGGCAGGUAGUGGGCAGCCAGCGAGUCCACCUCACAGAGACUUGAGAUUUAGUUGUAUAUAGUUUUACUUUUAGCCCUCCACUGUAGGAGAGGCCCACCACAGUUUGUACUUUGAACAUUGUAAAUAGUUUUGAUUUUGCUGCUGACUAAUAAACUAUUUUGUGACUUA